AGUACUACCCCUCCCACGCUCGCUCCCGACACCUGUUCCGUUUAAAAUCCGCGGCGUCGACGUGGCCGCGUGCGCAGCCACAAGCCCUCGCUCCCCGCCACAAUUAACAAUCCGCUAAUCACCCCAAAUCCCCCGCUAAUCACCCGCUAAGCCGCUCUCUCCGCCAAAAAGCCAAUCCCGUUGCAUCACCCCUCCUCUCGCUUUUCCUAUCUCCACUUGGGGGGUCGGGGGUUCUAGACUCGUCGAUUCGGUUUCGAUCCUUCUAGACACUUCGCGGCGCCCGCUAUAAAAGCCGGCGCCUCCGGGGACAUCGACGGCACAUCAGCACACUCGCACGCAGCCCUCUGCUCAUUGGCCGGGCCGGAUGGAAGUCGCGGGGGAUUCCAAGCUUUUGGCGUAAUUGGCGUACUGCAUGCGGUGGCACCAAGCAUGAGGCAGGAACUGCAUUACUUGCAAGGAAGUCACAAAAUCAAUUGGAAGAUCAUACUUGUGGCUUUCUUGCAAGUUGUGCAGUUGUUGCCUCAAGCUUGCUGCCUCCCUUUGCCAGAGCUACCAGUAAAACAAGAAGUAUUGUCAGUUUCUGAGCUGCAAAAAUAACUUUGGAAAAACAAUUGAGAAAUGUUUUGCAUGAUAUAUGAAUAUGCUGCUAAAAAUUAAUCAAUGCUCAUUAAUUGCACAUGCUUUGCAUCUGGGGUUAACAUGCCUGUUUAAUUUACAUGCAAGUAGUUGGAACUAUAAUGCUGUGAUUUAGUUUUACAGUAGACAUCUGAACAUGUAUGCUAUGGUCUCUGUUACCAUAAAUUUGAUAAUGAAUACUACUCCACUUCAUACAAUGUUACUAAGUUUACGGGUUUGCAGCUUAUCACUAACGUUGGAACAAUCAGCAGAGGAACAUUGCUGCAUUACAGUCACCCAACCUGAUUUCAAGGAUGAACCGUGGAGCGUCUUGGCUUUGACCUCGUUUUCUGACGUCGACGGUGGUUGCUCUGGCUUCAUGGGCUCGGAUGAUGGUGCUGUACGUCGACGUCUACAGCUGACUGCUCUGAGGACUAUAGCCUCUGUAAAAGCUCUAUGCUGUCGAGGACGAAUUGUAUGCUCAUUAUUUUCGUUCAUGUAUUUUCUUCUCUUUUUGUGUGUUAUAACUUGUAUAAGACCGAACCCAUGCUAUGCUACUCACAGAACACCGGCAGAUAGCUGUCAGGACUGUAGGCCUUACCGUGCCAUACUGUCUGAAUCAGCAGUCCUUGUUUUUUUUAUUAGUUUCGGUGUUACAAAAAAACUUUCUGACUAUUUUGAAAAGGUCAGCUCUGGUUCCUGUAUAUGCAAACAGCCCUUUGCAGACACAACCAACGCUAUAUUCUCUC